CGUGUAGGCGGUUUGUUAAGUCUGAUGUGAAAGCCCCGGGCUCAACCUGGGAAGUGCAUUGGAUACUGGCAGACUUGAAUACGGGAGAGGGUAGUGGAAUUCCUGGUGUAGGAGUGAAAUCCGUAGAUAUCAGGAGGAACACCGGUGGCGAAGGCGGCUACCUGGACCGAUAUUGACGCUGAGACGCGAAAGCGUGGGGAGCAAACAGGAUUAGAUACCCUGGUAGUCCACGCCGUAAACGAUGAGUACUAGGUGUUGCGGGUAUUGACCCCUGCAGUGCCGCAGCUAACGCAUUAAGUACUCCGCCUGGGAAGUACGGUCGCAAGACUAAAA
rnacentral:rRNA from 1 species